CCGCCUGCCUCAGCACGGGCCGGGAGAGAGAGACCCGCCUGCCUCAGCUCGGGCCGCAGCAGGGGCCCUGCGGCUCCACAAUCCGCACAUUCCUGCGGGAGCGUGAUUCCUGCGUGCACGUGAUACUGAUCCAGGGAGCAAGGCCCUCCUCUUGGCCAGCGAAUCAGGAGCAAUGGACUCUGGAGCUGUAUGGAGAGGUUUGACGCUACUGCUUUAUGGGGACACAGGUUUAUCUGCAUUUUUUCAUCAUGGCAAAUCCCUGCUCCCUUGAUACCAUGUUAUUGACCUGGGAGACUUCAGUGCAACAACUGUAACACUCCUGAAGAAAGCAGGUUGCUGUCUGCUCCUCCAGGUGUGUGCUGAAUGCUUGGCCAUGAUUCCAUCCGGGAAGUGCCUUGAGAAAUCUCUGUCUCAGCAUCAGCUGUGCAUUGAAAGGCAUGAGCCACACUGUCAGCUGAUGUUUCUUUAACCUGCUGCAUCUGAGAGCAUGUCUGGAGGGCUGGUAUUCUUGGGUUUUAUACUCAGUAUUUUUCUAGUAUUUGUCUAAUCAGUAAGGUGCGGUGUUCAAUAUUGUCAUUGGAAGUAGAAGCCUAAACAAAAUUCCUCACUUGAUUUGAAAGGUCCUCAGUAGCUUCUGGACAGUUCUAAUCAGGACAAUAAUACCAAUGGAGAGGGUAAUGCUGCAGGUGAGGUGUAAAUGGAUGAAAGAGACAGGGUGUGAUGAGAGACAUAAACGGAGAAGACAGAAAAACUGGAAGAAGACUGAAGAAGGGCCAGGAAGAGGCUCAUGAACAGACAGCUUUCCAGAAACAAGGCUUUGUUCUCUUAUGGACAUCUUCUCUUUUCAGUCUUGGGCUUUCUGAAUUAAAUGCUGCAAUAUUAGCUGCCUGCAGUUCCUGUGAUUGGACUCCAUGGGUGGUCUGAGUAAUUUUCAGACAAUGGAGCUGGUUCUUUUCUCACUCACACCACUGUAACUCAUUGGCUUCAGUGAAGUUACUCUUGAUUCAGUGUUCUGAAAGAAGAGUUGAGUUUGCUCUUUCAUUUGUUCUUUAAUCUCCAUGAUAUUUUUGCUUACAUGUAUAAUUGAUUUUCUGGGAAUGUAUCCUGCUGCUGGCAGGUAGACCUAGGAACUUCCUAAGACAGAAAUAAAUGUGAGCACUUUUUAGGUCACUGAAUUAAAUCCACUGCUUCUACACCACCAUGUUAUAUAAUUUCUUUCAUAAACUGCUCAGGCUUUAAACAUUCAUUAGGAUCUAUUCUUACUACAGUGGGUAAAUUCAGACAGAAAGAUUAGUUACGUCCUGUGAAAAUUUAAAAUCACAACUGAAAUAAUCUUCAAAUGCUUUAAAAGUAUUUUUCUUUCUUACCUGUGUCUCACUUUUCAGUACAGUAAUCAUGAUAAAGGUUCAUUCUUGGCAGAAGGAGGCUCAGCUCUGGGAAAGCACGAUUCUGAAAUUAGGGGCAUACUUUGGAAAGGUUACUGUGUAUUUUUCUUUCAUGGUCACAUCCCUCUUGCAGAUUUUAGUGUGAGCAGUCAUCUGACAACAAUUUUUUACCAUACUUGAAGCGUCAUUCUGAAGGUAAUUCCAGAAGGAGAAGGGUACGGAACAGGUGUGUACAACUCAGCUGGGGAUAGAUUACUGUAGACUUUGACUUACUUUUCUUGGGCUGCCUUCCAGGUACUACUCUGUUGUAACAAAUCCCAUCCAUUUUAUCCAAAUUUGCUCUUCAUUUAUGGAAUUAAUGGGUCUAAUUAACAUGAAAUUGAAAAUCAUCAAUACAAUCAAGAAGUUUUAUUGUAAUUUAAGGAUAGAUGAGAAGCAUAGCCCUGUUUUUCUCUUACAUAGUAUAAAUGAUUCAGCAGAAGCCAACACAAUUAUGCUGCUACCUGAAAAUGCUGCUAUGAUAUCUCCCUGUGCUCCCUACCUUUGCUUUGCAUAUAUGUUAAUAUGGAAUGUACUGUUAUUUUUUGCCUUGUGUUGCUAAAUCUCUGUUCUGCAGCUCACUUUAGCAAGCCCUUUGCCGGUACUUUCCUUCUGUUCUGAAGCUUGAACUACAGAAGUUGCAGCUGUUACCCAGGAAAGUUCUUGGCAGUUGCCAUUUAGCAGGUUUGGUUUGCAGCAGCUGGAAGAUGGCUGCACAUCACAAGGGAGGGAGGAAGAGGUGUAUUAGUUGUGAAAGCCAGAUUAUGGUCACUGUACAGCAGCCAGCUGGCUGUGAUACUGCUUUGGUGGCUCUUUAUCCCACCCUUUGGCUACUCUGUUUCUGAUGCAGAAAAAAAUGCACCAGUUGCAUCAUGCAAGUACAAUAAGCCUUGUAGUUUUAGGACUUACUGGAAAUGCUCAAAGUAAUUGUGUGGUCUCUUCAUGCAACCCUUUGUAGGAGUGGUAGAGCACUCCCUUAGUUUUGUUGCAUUACACUGCCUAUAGAAUAUGGGCCUAUGGUGUUUGCUCUAAGGUCUUUGGGGUUGCUGAACAUAGGACAUCCAAGGUUGAGACGUAUGCAGUAACAUAAUGACAUUAUUAGAUACCAAGAAUCAUAGACAUACUCAGUUCUCAUAAUCUCCCUGGAAAAUAAUUCUGGUUGGAAAAGAGGACAGACAAACAAUCUAAGACAACCUGGAUAUGGUAGCUAUAUCUAACCAUGUCUACACAUCUCCUUUCUACUGCAAUGCCUUCAUGCUUCCCCAUAGAUAACUCUUUUUUAUUUUCCAAUUUUCUUUGUCAAAAGUAUGAGAGGUAGCCUGCUGUAUGCUCUUGUGGAGAGCAGUUGCCAGUCAGGAAUCCUCAGUGCAUCACCAUUCUCAGCUUUACAGUCAGCAGCUCUCAACCCAGCACAAGUUAUGGGGCUGUUGAAAGAGGCCAUUGCCUCUGGUGACAAUCUGCUGCAUGCUCAACAACGUGCUGAUCUCAGGCCAAGGAGAGAGCAGCGAGGCAGGACAAACUUGUUUCUUUCACCUACGCAGAACACCAGGCCAAAGGAAUUCUUUGGUAGGCUGUGUGCUACACAGGCCUGCUACAGAGGCUUGGGGAGAGUCUGGUUUGUCUUCUAGAUGCUUCCUAACCCUUAAGUGCAUAAUGGUGGUGGGUUGUUUUGAGGCUUAGAGCUCUGAUAAGUGGUCUUUGACAGAGUUACCUGUUCAGUUUAAGACAUUACUGCUCUCAAGCGUCUGGCUUACUCUGCUGUUAGGUAUUAUCACACUCUUACUGUGGAGACUCCAAUGGUCACAGGCUGGAAUGUUUAAAGAAUACCUACUUUCAUUGUUGUACUCUCCUAGAAUGAUCAUGACCUCAGGCAGUUGAGAGAAAUCAUAUCUUAAAACACAGCAGAUAAAUCUGGCAGAGCUUGCUGUUCGGAGCCUUUGGCCUUUGCUUCUUAACCCUGAGGGGAAAGAGUCCUUGCCAGUGCCUGCGGGCCCAAGGACAACCAUUCAUGCCUUUACUGCCACUGCAGGUCCUCUGUCAUCCCAGAAGUCUGCCGCUCGUCCAUAUGGAGUACUGCUGUCACAGCUGUUAGCUGUUACAACUUAAAAGAGCAAGGAGUAUGUGUAAAGAAACUUUGAAGUCACUGAUACUGUAUUAAGCAAAAAGUGAGGGCUGUUCAUUGGGUAGUGAAUUAAUGAAGAAAAAAAUUCACUUGGAAUUUUUUAUGGUUUAUGUCAUCUUGAAAGUGGUUUAUGAUCCCACCAUGCAGAUCUUAGGAUUUAGUGGCUGUUCUGAUUCACUGAAAAUUGCAGAUGUAGUAGAAAAUAGGUUGAAGUAUUCAUUUAUAUCAGUAAUGAUAUGGCAUCAGAGUAAAGCAUGACAUUUUAAUCUUAAUUUCACUAAGAAAUUAAGUGAUUGUGUUGAUAUUGUGCUGAAAUUAUAUUGCUGUCUUUAUUUGUCCAUCUUUUUUUGAAAUGGUAGGAGGUUGAAAGCAGGAACUGGAUCCCCUUCACUUGUCUGAGGACAUUUUGUAAAAUUUUGUUUACAAAAAUCAAUUCAAAAGCUGGUCAGUCAUAAGACACAAGUCCACAGGAAAUCAAACUUCAGUAUUUCUGAUGUUUACACAAAUGCCUGGUAGUUGGUUCAUGCCCAGCAAUGGAAUAGGCCAAGCUGGCUGGAAACAGUUAGAGAUGCUGGCAGUGUGCCUUGCCCACCUCCCACAGGUUCCCACUUCUGCAGCAGGAAUGGCUCAAUGCCUCAUUAAUCAGCACCUGGGUUUCUGCGUUUUGCAGAUUGGCGCAUUAAGACAAGACAAUCUGUUCAGGCUUAAGCCACAGCAUUCCUGCUGUGGGAGAUGUCUUGCAAGAGCGAUCAGUGUACAUAGUGGGGCAGAUGAUUGUCAACUGCAGCUUAAACUAUAGGGUGAAAUAUAUAUUAAUACCUUCAUCAUUAUUUUGUUAGAAGAGAAUUUUUAAUUUAUUGAUCAGAAAUCACUAAUGGAAAUGUAAAGUUGAGGUGGUUUAGGACGUGGAUGAUAGCAGAAGAAUGCCAAGAGGAACACUCAUGAACAUUACAUUUUCUAGUUGGUGAAAGACUACAUCUAUCAUAUUUGUCAGCAUAACUUUGCUUCUGUUUUUCAAUACAACAGCUUAAAAAUAAAAUUAAAAAAU